rnacentral:rRNA from 3 species
GGCGAAGCCUGACGCAGCGACGCCGCGUGGAGGAUGAAGGCCUUCGGGUCGUAAACUCCUGUCAAGAGGGAAGAACCGUAUGCGGAAUAAUACGCCGCAUGCCUGACGGUACCUCUAGAGGAAGCACCGGCUAACUCCGUGCCAGCAGCCGCGGUAAUACGGAGGGUGCAAGCGUUAAUCGGAAUCACUGGGCGUAAAGCGCGCGUAGGCGGCUUGGUAAGUCAGGUGUGAAAGCCCCCGGCCCAACCGGGGAAUUGCACUUGAUACUGCUAGGCUAGAGUUCAGGAGAGGGUGGCGGAAUUCCAGGUGUAGGAGUGAAAUCCGUAGAUAUCUGGAGGAACACCGGUGGCGAAGGCGGCCACCUGGACUGACACUGACGCUGAGGUGCGAAAGCGUGGGUAGCAAACAGGAUUAGAUACCCUGGUAGUCCACGCCGUAAACGAUGGAUACUAGGUGUCGGGGACUUGAUCCUCGGUGCCGUAGCUAACGCGUUAAGUAUCCCGCCUGGGGAGUACGGUCGCAAGGCUGAAACUCAAAGAAUUGGGACGGG